UUGUGGCCAUAUCUCGUUCAAACACCGGCUAUUGUCCGAUCACCGAAGUUAAGCAAACGUGGACCCUGGUUAGUACCUAGACGGGCGACAGCUUGGUAAUACUAGGAGCUGUAA